UCAUUUUGGCUGUUUAUUUCGAGGGUACGGUAGGAGGUCAUCGUUCACUCGAUAACUCUUUUUAAAAUGAAAUAAAAGCGUUUUAAGAUACAUGAUAUGAAUUGAUAUUAAUAUUCGUUAAGUGGGAUUGUCGGUGGACGUUCAUUGUUGAACAGUUGUGCUGGAAUUACGAAAAUAUAUCGAUAUCGUUGAGAGUUCAUUCAUUAGGGGCCUGCUCUCAAUUUUCCUUAAUGCCUCUAGCACUGGGCAAUUGCCACCAUCUUGAAAAGCAGUGCCGCGGAUGGCUAUCGCAUCGCCACUACGCAUGAGAACACGAUGGCUGCCCUGCGCUGCAUUGAUAGUUCGUAAUAAAUUCACAUAAAAACACACCAGAAGAUCUCCGAUUUUAUUUACAAAGAUCAUAUUUUGUUAUUUAUUGAUAAAACAAGCCAUUUUACCACAGCAGGUGACACAUAUUAGGCCUGAAUAAGACUUUAGAAUUUGAAGUGGUGGUGACGAUGCCGAUAUCCAAGAUGGCGGAAUUAUACCAGUGGUCAAAUCUCAUCUAGUUUGGGUAAUUGCAUCAUUAUUUCUUUUUGUGAUUGGUGAUUUGUAAAAUUGAGAAUGAUUGAAAAAUCAGUAUUUUUUCACCCAAAGGCAUGAGUGAACAUUUGAUAAGUUUAUUGUGAUUUAAUUGGUAAUUUGGUCGACAUUUUGACAAUUAUAUUUAGCAAUAUUUCGAUAAAUGCGGACCUGCUUCUUCCUCUUUUCGCAGUAACGGUGUUUCGAUAACUCAGGUCAGUUUCACGGCAAAAAUAAGUGGUAGUUUUGAAAUUCGAAUGUGCAUUUAUUAAUGUAACGAUAAAGUACAUUUCCGAGAAUAAUUAGUGAAAGUUUCAGUAGGUGUCGAUUUUUGUAAAGUAGUGUAUAGGCGAUGGAUUGGCUCAGCCAUGUGCACGUCGUGUAAGCCGUCAUGGGAUGGGGGAUGUACACUACAAUGCACGUGAUUGAUGGUUGAACAUUCACUCUCGUUGACAGUGUAUUAUUGAAAUAUUUGAUUGUGAUGAUGGUGUAUUGUACUAGGCCUUGCAUGCUCCCAACGUGUGGCAUAUUUCACAUUGAUACUACCAGUAUCAAUUACAAAAAAAUAGAUUGUGAGUAACAAUACUGAUAGGCCUACAAACAAUGCUACAUGUCAUGAGGGUGGGAACGGGGAAGGGGGGGGGUAACUGUUUCGACGUCCCGUUAGGAAAAAAGGCUUAUCCCGUUUCCCAAUACGCAAUUUUAGCCAAAUCGUGACGCAAAACACGGCUUGUCUCGAAUCCCGCUAAAAUAAGGGUGUCUAUCGUAUCCCGAAUCCCGACAGUUAUUUUCGGCCCAUCCCAGUGUCCCGAAAAUACCCGUUCUCCCCCUCAUACAUAGUAGACCAUAUUGUCACAUUGAUGUUUUCUUUCAUUACAGUUAGACUUCGAGAUCUACAUUUUCGACAAAGGCCUGGUGUAAUAUUACAAUACAUUGAUGAAGGUUUAAUGACACGAAUGAGUACAAGUACAUUACAUUUUUCGACGAAGGCCUUCUGUAAUUUCAUACACUUCUUACGCAACAUUCAAUAGAUUUAUUUACUGUAUUAUCAUUUCGACCAAGGCGAAUUCGACACUUCAGUUACACAAGAUAUCUCCAAAUCUUCAUCAUGGCAUCAUCUAAUGAUGGUAAACGAAAACGAUACGAUGACCAUCCCAAAGUAAACGAAGAAGUUUUCAUUCAUAAUACAAGCCCCAUAAAGACUAGUCGUUCAAAUAAAGACUAUUUCAAUGCUGUGGCACAAACCAAUAAGAAUUCUUAUAUGGACAUUGUCUGUUUCCAACCAAAACUACAUAACCAAUUCCGGAAAGCAGAAGAACAAAAAAGCCCAGUAAAGCUCACGAAUGCAAGUCUCACAAAGAGUCUGAAAGACGAUUCCCUAAAGAAUCUAAGGCCAUUCAACAUAAAUUACUUGUUUAUCAUCACCGCCCGCCCCGACAUUUAGGUCCCGUGCCGAUUAUUUUGAUAUUCGAUAUAUCAAAUAUCAAGGUACCGUCCGCUCCAAGUUGUGCCCUCAACUUCCAACUCAGAUUCAAACAACCUACUGCCCUAAUUUUACCUGACCCGGUGGCCUGUUGAUAAUUGAUAUCCAUUUCCCCGUUCUGGCCAUCACACAUGUGGUAUUAGCUACGACUAAACAAAUCCAGAGACGCAGCAUGCAGCCAGCCGAUGCUGAAAAAAUGUCUCAAUACCUCAGUACAGGUGACACCAGUCUCGCUCAACGGCAAUGAAUUAUUUUCAUUCAAAGUGAAUUGUCAGCACACAAAAGAAUUAUUGACUCAGUGAGACUACACUCGGGGAGAUUUUGGAACCAAUACUUUCUCAACCUCAUACCUGCGUGGGCAAAUGCGUAUAGGCCUACCAGUUAUUUUUAUAUUGCCGAUGAGCCUGGAAUCGAGAUGAAUAAACGCAUGUGUUUUUAUUUCUUGUUCAACGCAUGAAUGUUUGACCAAAGCUUACACACUAUGUGGUGUAUGAGGAGAAUGUUUUCAAUGGGCGAGACUUGGGGCCAUGCUGCUUGCUGUCACUUUGCAUGCUUGUGUCAGAUAUACAUGGAUUUGUACGGUACAUACAUGUAAAAUGUCAGGGGAAUAAAUUAUCAGCAGAUCAUGGUGACCAGGAUAUAAAAAAGAAACAGCUGUUGAUGUCCAUACAAGUUUUGUAAUUAAACUUUAAUUUGUAUUCUCCUGUCCUUAUUUUAUCUAUCCAUUUUGGAAUUUGAUCACUGUAUACAUUUUUAGGCCUCCCUGACACAUCUGUUGUACUGAUUAUAACUUGACAUGGCUUAUACAUACAUUUGUAAUAUGUCAGUCCAAAAAUUAUCAAAUAUCGAAUAUCAAAGCCCCUACCAAUGGAAUACAUUGCCAAGUUCAUGACCGAAAAAUAUCAAAUACCAAAUAUCAAAGGCCCUCCCCAUCAAACAUUGGCGCCAAACAAAAUAUCAAAUAUCAAUAUCAAAGGGCCUCCCCUCCAAAUAUCGUGAGGUGGAGUGAUGAUAAACAAGUAAUUUAUUUUGAAUGGCCUAAUGAUUACAUACGAUACCCGAAUGUCAAUCGAAAACCACACCCUAAACUUCAAACCAAAGCGUCCAAAAUUACAAACUACGCCAUCCAUCCAACUGAACGAAUUGAGUGACCAGAAGAUUUCUAGCAAAGUGAAUGUCACAGCCACCACAGUACAAGUCAUUAAGGAAACCUUCCCUAAAGAAGUUCGGGGACAAGAACUGGACCUGAAAGUUAUCCAAAUUGCAGAUGCCACAGAUUCAGCUCACCUCAGCUUGUGGGAACAGUUAAUCCCACUCACUGAACUGAACAAAACCUAUGAAUUCAAGGAAUUGAGAGUGUGGGAAUUUGAAAAUCAAAAAGUACUUUCAACCACAACUGACACAACAAUUGAGGAACGCCCUCCAAUCACAGGCAUUGUUGAUAGUAAAGACAAAUAGGAACAAAACAGCGAUUUGCAAACAAUAACAAGGCCGUCGAUUGAUCAAGUCUGCGUCACAUUGAAAAAAACCUGUAUGACGUGCAAGCACGUUGUACCAUCUGCAAUGGCGGAACAUCACACAGUAAAAUGCACUAAUUGCAAUAUGCGUCAACUGACAACAAAAUUGCGCCAAAAUAUAAGGGCUAAAUUGCUCUUGACAACUGAAGACAAAGUUCGCAUAACAGUUACUGCCACUGAUCACCUCAUGAUCGAAUUCUUGGAAAAAGAAGGACUUGCCAUAACAAAAGACAUCAAAUCAGAUGACAUCGAGGAAUAUAUUUUGAAUUUGGAAUCAAUCGCGUCGGUCACCUACAACACUGAUAAGGUUGUUGUCAAAUUCUGAAUACAAGUAAUGUAUUGGAAGUAAUCUACGACAUUUUAUUGUCCUCAACACAUCGUAAUAGUAUAGUGUAACAUCUUGUACUCAAUUUUAUCACAUAUUGUGCCGCAUCAACAAUCUCAUCCUCUUAGUAAUAUGAAUCGCAUUUCUGUUACCCUUUUUGUAAAUGUAUUGUGUUUGUUCCUACCAUCUCCAUUCAGUCCUAAUCUUCAUUUCUACAUUUUGUUAACUUUCAAAUACCAGUCAAGUGUUCAAAUAAUCAUAAACAUUUCAUCAUCAUGAAGCCAUUGAAUAUUGUAAUUCGUAUAUUGUGUCAAAUGAGUAACCUUGCAUCAUGGCUACUAUGCAUUACAUUCUGUUAUCAUAUAUGUUUAUACGUCUCUUUUGUCUGUUCUCGCCAUCUUUACUUAGUCAUAAUCAUUAAGAUAUUGUAAUUCGUAUAUUACAAUCAUCACCAAUGUGAUGUAAUUCUUGUGAUCAUUUCUUGUCAUAUUAUUUCAUGUUGGACAACUAGAAUUUCAUUCAUAUUAUUCAUAUUAUUUCAUGGCCAAAAAACAGUAGUUUGCUUACAUUUAUCUUCAAAAUAAAAAUAUUGUAAUCAUUGUUUUAACGUUUUACGCUCAAAAUCUUGGAUAAAUGUUGUAAUCAGGUUUUGUAACAUUUUAUGCUCUAUUAAUCAGCAUUCCAUGAAUAUCAGAAUACUUCCCUGUAUGUUUGUACUUUUUUGAAUAUUUUUCUAGUCUGUUCAUUCAUUUGUGUUGGUAACAAGUGAUUUCAAUUUCAUAUUUAGCUCACCUCUUAGCUGAGGUGAGCUUAUCCCAUACCGUGGGGUCCGUCGUCGUCGUCGUCCGUCGUCAUCCGUCGUCCGUUAGCAGGGCACGUUUCGUAACUGUUAGAGCUAUUGAGUUGAAACUUGGUACACAUGUACCCUUAUGUAAUGACACCUUGGAGACCAAGUUUCGGUCCGAUUCGCUUCAUGGUUUGGCCACCAGGGGGCCAAACGUUAAAAGUGAAAAUAUGCAAUAUCUCCCUUAAUAGUAGUCGGGAAAUUUUGAAAAAAAUAUGGUAGGUACUUCUAGCAAAGGUGCAUCAUAUAUCCUCCGGGUUUUUGAUUUGCCCUCCUUUUCAAGGUCACAGAGGUCAAAUAGUGUAAAUUGGCUGUUAGGAUGUAACGAUGGCAUGUUCUAAACUGCAAUGACUAUUGAUCCCAAAUUUGGUACACAUUUACCCCUUAGUCAGGUAAUCCCAGGGACCGAAGUUUGGUCCAAUAUGAUUCACCACUUGACCACCAGGGGGCAAAAUCCAAAAACCUUAAAAAUGUGAUUAUUCCUUAACUUCUUGCCCGAUUGCCACCAAUUUGAUAUCAUGGAUACAUCUAACCACCAUACAGCAUAUGUCACACAGGUUUUUAAUUUGACCUUCUUGUCAAGGUCACAGAGGUCAAAUGGCGUAAAUUGGCCGUCAGGCCGUAACUAUGGCACGUUUCUUAACUGCAAUGACUAUUGAUCACAAAUUAAGUACACAUGUACCCCUUGGUCAGGUGGUCUCAGGUACCGAAGUUUGGUGCGAUCUUAUUUGCCGUUUGGCCUCCAGGGAGGGGGCCAAAUCCUAAAUUCUUCAAAAUGCCAUUAUUCCUAGUAUUACUUGCCCGAUUGGCACCAAUUUUAUAUCAUAGGUACAUCUAAUUCUAACAACCAUUCAAUGUGUCACCCGGGUCUUCUUUGAUUUGACCUACUUUUCAAGGUCACAGAGGUCGAAUGUACUGUAAAUUGGCCAUUUUGGGGAAAUUGUAAUUGCUUGGACCUACAUCAAACCUAACACUACAUGACACAAUACCAUGCUCUUUAUCCAUCUUUCCUCCACAUGAGGUGAGCACAAUGGCCCUGGCCAUUUCAUUACAUUAAAAUCACUUGUGACCAAGCCAAACAAACCACAUGUAUAGAAAGUUUAUGCAGAUUGUUUUCUGCAGCACCAUCUCAAUUCCCUUGCUUGGUGAUUCCAGGAAAUGUGCAACAGAAGUUAGACCAUGAAAAUGUUAAAAAGGAUCUUGAAAGCAAAACUUCCAUCUCAUUCAUGAUUGUUUAUCUUCGUCAAUAGUAGGUCUGUUCCUAAUGCAAUAGGUCUUAGAUUUUAAUAAUUUCAUAAUAAUGCAUAUUCAUAAUUUCCUCCUGGAGUCACCAGGCAACUGACUUAACAUGGUGCUACAGCCAACACUGUACAAUCACUUUCCAUUUUGACAUCUUGUAAUAAUCUUUGCCAAAUCAGUGAUUCUUAUAUAAUUUACUCCAUGAUUGCAAUCAGCCUUUGUUAAAUUCCAAUCGCCUGCAGGUCAGGUCAAUCUUUUACCAAUAAAGUUAAUUUUCUUAA